GACGUAGGGCGCGAGCGUUGUCCGGAUUUAUUGGGCGUAAAGAGCUCGUAGGCGGCUUGUUGCGUCGACUGUGAAAACCCGCGGCUCAACCGUGUGGUCUGCAGUCGAUACGGGCAGGCUGGAGUUCGGUAGGGGAGACUGGAAUUCCUGGUGUAGCGGUGAAAUGCGCAGAUAUCAGGAAGAACACCCGUGGCGAAGGCGGCUCUCUGGGACGGUACUGACGUCUGAGACGCGAAAGCGUGGGGAGCGAACAGG
rnacentral:rRNA from 1 species